UACGUAGGGGGCUAGCGUUGUCCGGAUUUAUUGGGCGUAAAGUGUGCGCAGGUGGCCGCGCAAGUCGAGUGUGAAAUCCCCGAGCUUAACUUGGGAAUUGCGCUCGAAACUACGUGGCUCGAGUGUGGCAGAGGAAGGUGGAAUUCCACGUGUAGCGGUGAAAUGCGUAGAUAUUCGGAGGAACACCGGUGGCGAAGGCGGCCACCUGGUCCGGUACUGACGCUGAAGCGCGAAAGCGUGGGGAGCAAACAGG
rnacentral:rRNA from 1 species